GUCGGCCGGCCACAUCGGGACUGAGACACUGCCCGGACUCCUACGGGGGGCUGCAGUAACGAAUCUUCCCCAAUGCACGCAAGUAUGAGGGAGCGACGCCGCGUGGAGGAUGAAGUCCUUCGGGAUGUAAACUCCUGUCAGGGGUUACCAAGUUCUGAGGAGCCCCAGAGGAAGGCACGGCUAACUCUGUGCCAGCAGCCGCGGUAAGACAGAGGUGCCAAGCGUUAGGCGGAAUCACUGGGCUUAAAGCGUGUGUAGGCGGAUCGUUAAGUGCCUUGUGAAAUCCCACGGCUUAACCGUGGAACGGCUGGGCAUACUGGCGGUCUUGAGCUGCCUA
rnacentral:rRNA from 1 species